GAGAGAGCGGAAGCGGCCCUGGGGCAUGCUGGGAGAUGUAGUUCCUGACUCUCCCUGGACCGGAAGUGACGUUGGGCGGGAGAGAAAAAGACGAGUUGCAAACGCGCGCGAGCGGCUGCGGCUCUGCCUGUCUCGCGCGGGGCCGUUGGAGCCUCUCCCGGGGCCGGAGAAGGGUGUGUGACUGAGAUCAGGGCUCCUAUCGUACUGAGCGUGGCCGUGUUCUGCCAGGCACUGAAGAGGCCCCAGGUGAGAUCAGACCGCACUGUUAUCCAGGAGUCCAUGUCUCUGCUCCCUGUGGCUGUGGUGCCUUCCGUACCAAAGCAGCACGUCAGCAGAGCAGACGCACACCAUAGCUGUGCCUGGAACACGCCGCAUUCACUGCCAGACGGGCUGAGUGAUUUUUAAGGGACUGAUAUGCCUGGCUGGGAUGGAUUCACUUGGAUGACGGUCUGAGGCUCUCAUAGUUUGAGAUAUUCCUUUGUGCAUAGUCAGUUCUUUCCAUUUAUUGUUUUCCCCCUACCUAUGCCCGAUGCCACUCCCUUCUUUACUUGCUUUGGUUAUUUCAGUUCCAGCUUUUAAAUGGGAUCUAAGAUUUGCAAAGCUGAAUGAAAGAUAAAACAAACAGAACCAUUUGAAUGUUGGCCCAUAGGUGGUAGAACUGUGCCUAGUGAAGGUCGGCUGUAAUGACCGGGUUCCCUAUAGCAUUUUCUGGUGGGGCAGAUAAAGCAACGUCAAAGAGUCAAAUGUGCGUUUUAGGGCAAAAGGGCUAAAUGCAUGAGAAAUGAACUGACACUUAAUUUC